rnacentral:rRNA from 11 species
AGGAUUAGAUACCCUGGUAGUCUAUACUGUAAACUAUAAAUAUUCGUUUUGAAAUUAAAAAAAUUUUGAAACCAAACUAACGUGUUAAAUAUUUUGCCUGAGAAGUACACCGGCAACGUUGAAACUCAAAGGAAUUGACGGGGAUUUAUAACAUUGGUGGACUAUGUGGUUUAAUUCGUCAAUACACGCAAAACCUUACCAAUUCUUGAAUAAUUAUAAAAUUAAAGCA